GAUGAACGCUGGCGGCGUGCCUAAUACAUGCAAGUCGAGCGAACAGACGAGGAGCUUGCUCCUCUGACGUUAGCGGCGGACGGGUGAGUAACACGUGGAUAACCUACCUAUAAGACUGGGAUAACUUCGGGAAACCGGAGCUAAUACCGGAUAAUAUAUUGAACCUCAUGGUUCAAUAGUGAAAGACGGUUUUGCUGUCACUUAUAGACGGAUCCGCGCCGCAUUAGCUAGUUGGUAAGGUAACGGCUUACCAAGGCGACGAUGGGUAGCCGACCUGAGAGGGUGAUCGGCCACACUGGAACUGAGACACGGUCCAGACUCCUACGGGAGGAAGCAGUAGGGAAUCUUCCGCAAUGGGCGAAAGCCUGACGGAGCAACGCCGCGUGAGUGAUGAAGGUCUUCGGAUCGUAAAACUCUGUUAUUAGGGAAGAACAAAUGUGUAAGUAACUAUGAACGUCUUGACGGUACCUAAUCAGAAAGCCACGGCUAACUACGUG
rnacentral:rRNA from 1 species